GGAUGCGAUCAUACCAGCACUAAAGCACCGGAUCCCAUCAGAACUUCGAAGUUAAGCGUGCUUGGGCGAGAGUAGUACUUGCAUGGGUGACCUCCUGGGAAGUCCUCGUGUUGCAUUCC
rnacentral:rRNA from 1 species